GUGCUUACUUUGGCAGCAUAUAUACUAAAAUUGGAAUGACACAAAGGUUAGCAUGGCCCCUGUGUAAGGAUGACAUACAAAUGUGUGAAGUGGUCCAUAUUUUA